rnacentral:rRNA from 1 species
GACGAACGCUGGCGGCGUGCUUAACACAUGCAAGUCGAACGGAAAGGCCUCCUUUCCCUUGUGGAUUGCGGGUACUCGAGUGGCGAACGGGUGAGUAACACGUGAGUGAUCUGCCCCCAACUUGGGUAUAAGCCUGGGAAACUGGGUCUAAUUCCCGAUAGGACUGCAGGGUGGUGCCUGUGGUGGAAAACGAUUUUCUAGUGGUUGGGGAUGAGCUCGCGGCCUAUCAGCUUGUUGGUGGGGUAAUGGCCUACCAAGGCGGCGACGGGUAGCCGGCCUGAGAGGGUGGACGGCCACAUUGGGACUGAGAUACGGCCCAGACUCCUACGGGAGGCAGCAGUGGGGAAUAUUGCACAAUGGGCGGAAGCCUGAUGCAGCGACGCCGCGUGGGGGAUGACGGCCUUCGGGUUGUAAACUCCUUUCGACCGCGAGGAAGCCACCUGGUUGGAAGGGUGGUGACGGUAGUGGUAGAAGAAGCACCGGCUAACUACGUG